rnacentral:ncRNA from 1 species
AUUAAUACGAUGAUAGGAUUUCAGUAGUCUUUUUAUCCCUGUUGUGAAGAGAGCCAGUGGGUGGUGCAAACUGGUACAUAUAAAAAAGACGAAUUUCGUUCCUGGAGUAUCUUUUUCGACCUUUGGAAGGAAAAGACGGAUUGUCUCGAUAACGACAGCAAAGUGGAGAUGUUCAUCUCAAUUUAGGGUGGUACCGCGGUCAAAAGCCGUCCCUGUG